UGCCAGCCGCCGCGGUAAUACGAAGGGGGCUGGUGUUACUCAGAAUAAUUGGGCGUAAAGGGUGCGUAGGUUGCUUCUCAAGUUAAAAGUUAAAUCCAAGAGCUUAACUUUUGAAAAGCUUUUAAAACUAAGAAGCUAGAGUAUAGAAUAGGAUAGUAGUAUUCUUAGUUGUAGGGGUUGAAUCCAUUCAGAUUAAGGAGACUAUCAAAGGCGAAGGCAGCUAUCUGGUUUAUAACUGACACUAAGGCACAAAAGCAUGGGUAGCAAACAGGAUUAGAUA
rnacentral:rRNA from 1 species